AGAGUUUGAUCCUGGCUCAGAUUGAACGCUGGCGGCAUGCUUUACACAUGCAAGUCGGACGGCAGCACAGGGAAGCUUGCUUCUUGGGUGGCGAGUGGCGAACGGGUGAGUAACAUAUCGGAACGUACCGAGCAGUGGGGGAUAACUAAUCGAAAGAUUAGCUAAUACCGCAUAUUUUCUGAGGAAGAAAGCAGGGGACCUUUGGGCCUUGCGCUGUUUGAGCGGCCGAUAUCUGAUUAGCUAGUUGGUGGGGUAAAGGCCUACCAAGGCGACGAUCAGUAGCGGGUCUGAGAGGAUGAUCCGCCACACUGGGACUGAGACACGGCCCAGACUCCUACGGGAGGCAGCAGUGGGGAAUUUUGGACAAUGGGCGCAAGCCUGAUCCAGCCAUGCCGCGUGUCUGAAGAAGGCCUUCGGGUUGUAAAGGACUUUUGUCAGGGAAGAAAAGGGCGGGGUUAAUACCCCUGUCUGAUGACGGUACCUGAAGAAUAAGCACCGGCUAACUACGUGCCAGCAGCCGCGGUAAUACGUAGGGUGCGAGCGUUAAUCGGAAUUACUGGGCGUAAAGCGGGCGCAGACGGUUACUUAAGCAGGAUGUGAAGUCCCCGGGCUCAACCUGGGAACUGCGUUCUGAACUGGGUGACUAGAGUGUGUCAGAGGGAGGUAGAAUUCCACGUGUAGCAGUGAAAUGCGUAGAGAUGUGGAGGAAUACCGAUGGCGAAGGCAGCCUCCUGGGAUAACACUGACGUUCAUGCCCGAAAGCGUGGGUAGCAAACAGGAUUAGAUACCCUGGUAGUCCACGCCCUAAACGAUGUCGAUUAGCUGUUGGGCAGCAUGACUGCUUAGUAGCGAAGCUAACGCGUGAAAUCGACCGCCUGGGGAGUACGGUCGCAAGAUUAAAACUCAAAGGAAUUGACGGGGACCCACACAAGCGGUGGAUGAUGUGGAUUAAUUCGAUGCAACGCGAAGAACCUUACCUGGU
rnacentral:rRNA from 1 species